GACGAACGCUGGCGGCGUGCUUAACACAUGCAAGUCGAACGAGGUCCAUGGAGUAGCAAUACUCCGGAGGACCUAGUGGCGAACGGGUGCGUAACACGUGAGGGACUUACCCCGGUCUCUGGGAUAACAGUUGGAAACGACUGCUAAUACCGGAUGACGUCGGAGCGUCGCAUGGCGCGCUGACGAAAGGGUUACUGGAGCGGGAGAGCCUCGCGGCCUAUCAGCUUGUUGGUGGGGUAACGGCCUACCAAGGCAUCGACGGGUAGCUGGUCUGAGAGGAUGAUCAGCCACACUGGGACUGAGACACGGCCCAGACUCCUACGGGAGGCAGCAGUGGGGAAUCUUGCGCAAUGGGCGAAAGCCUGACGCAGCAACGCCGCGUGCGGGAAGAAGGCUCUCGGGUUGUAAACCGCUUUCAGCAGGAACGAAAAUGACGGUACCUGCAGAAGAAGGUGCGGCCAACUACGUGCCAGCAGCCGCAGUAA
rnacentral:rRNA from 1 species